rnacentral:misc_RNA from 1 species
GAUGGAGCGCAGGAUGAGCGC